rnacentral:rRNA from 1 species
UACAGAGGGGGCAAGCGUUGUUCGGAAUUACUGGGCGUAAAGGGCGCGUAGGCGGCCUGUUAAGUCGAACGUGAAAUCCCCGGGCUCAACCCGGGAACUGCGUCCGAUACUGGCAGGCUUGAAUCCGGGAGAGGGAUGUGGAAUUCCAGGUGUAGCGGUGAAAUGCGUAGAUAUGCGGAGGAACACCGAUGGCGAAGGCAAUCCCCUGGGCCUGCACUGACGCUCAUGCACGAAAGCGUGGGGAGCAAACAGG